GACGAACCGUGCGAACGUUAUUCGGAAUCACUGGGCUUAAAGCGCGUGUAGGCGGGUCGGUGCAUCGGUUGCUGAAAGCCCCCGGCUCAACCGGGGCAGGGGCGCCGCGAUGACCGGCCUGGAGGGGCGUAGGGGGAUCGGGAACUUCCGGUGGAGCGGUGAAAUGCGUUGAGAUCGGAAGGAACGCCCGCGGCGAAAGCGCGGUCCUGGACGCCUACUGACGCUGAGACGCGAAAGCCAGGGGAGCGAACGGG
rnacentral:rRNA from 1 species